rnacentral:tRNA from 1 species
GUUUUUAAAUAAAAACAGUCCGGUCUCGAAAACCGGAGUAGGGGCAACUCUACCGGGGGUUCAAAUCCCCCUCUCUCCGCCA